rnacentral:lncRNA from 1 species
ACACCAAAAAAGUCUGCACAGAAACCAUGUUUUUUAAGGGAAUGCCCUGUAUAGUCCGUGAGUGGGAUGUGGGCUCGUGCUCCCAAACCUGGGUGGAUGGAGCCCUCUGUGACCCAUCACUGCGGAGGGUGUCAGCCUGAGGAGGAGGAAGAGGGGAGUGGACAGGCUCUGGGCCCCAGGCCCGCUGCCCACCGUGGGACACAGUGCUUCCCUGCUCUCAGGAGAGGGGAAAGUGUGCUGCUCACUCACACAACACAUUCACCUUGGAAGGGGCCACUGAACAUCUAGCUUCCCAGGCCUGGUUCAUGUAAGGCAAAGUCGUGCGUCAGGGCAGAAAUGCUCCUGACUUCCUCUUCAUGGCCUCUUGAUUCUAUGGACGCGAAUCACAGCAAGAGCCAUUAUGCGCUGAUUCUGAUGUGCAGAGUUCCGCGCUGAGCAGGGCUAUGCCCAUUGCACAGACUGGAAAGCCGAGGAGACUUCAAGGGCCACGAGCCCUUCACCCAGCAGCCGCAGAGUGUGACUCGGGGCUCCCAGGCGUGAGUGUUCCAGUGAGCAGCAGCAGCUGUGGCCUCUGUCAGGUGGGAGGGGACAGGUACCAUUCACUGGUACUCAUUCUACUGAUUAGGAGACAGCAAGAAGGCAGCAAAUUAGCCCCUCCAAGGUCAAGGCAACGCACAAACCCCACCUACCCGCUGAGCCCACAGUUUGUCUUAUCACAAUGGGUUUCAAGCAGGAAGGUCGCCCUUCCUGAGGACAGCAUAGCCAGCUUCAUGGGCAUUUGA